rnacentral:tRNA from 1 species
GGCCCCGUAGUUCAACGGAUAGAACAAGCGUUUCCUAAACGCUAGAUCCAAGUUCGAUUCUUGGCGGGGCUACCA